GAUAGUCCCUGCUACUUGGAUACCCGUAGUAAUUCUAGAGCUAAUACAUGCGUAAAAGCGCAGGCUUUUGUCUGUGCUGUAUUUAUUAGAUUUGAACCAACCUCUUCGGAGUUUUUUGGUGAAUCAUGAUAACUUUGCGAAUCGUAUGCUUCGGCGACGAUGAAUCAUUCAAGUUUCUGCCCUAUCAAGUGGCGAUGGUAGGGUAUUGGCCUACCAUGCUUUUGACGGGUAACGGAGAAUUAGGGUUCGAUUCCGGAGAGGGAGCCUGAGAGACGGCUACCACAUCUAAGGAAGGCAGCAGGCGCGUAAAUUACCCAAUCCUGACACGGGGAGGUAGUGACAAUAAAUAACAAUACGGGGCCUUUUGGCACUGUAAUUGGAAUGAGAACAAUUUAAAUCCCUUUACGAGGAUCAAUUGGAGGGCAAGUCUGGUGCCAGCAGCCGAGGUAAUUCCAGCUCCAAUAGCGUAUAUUAAAGUUGUUGCAGUUAAAAAGCUCGUAGUUGGAUUUCUUGUGCAUGAAGCGGGUCGGCUCAAAGAGUCUGUACUAGCUUUCAUGCACAAUCCUCGUAACAAGCUGUCGGUGAGUUAACUCCAUUCGGCAGUGAGUUGCGUCAUUUACUGUGAACAAAUUAGAGUGUUUAAAGCAGGCAAAUGCUGUGAAUACAUUAGCAUGGAAUAAUAAGAUAGGACCUAGAGUCUAUUUUGUUGGUUGCGAUUUUAGGUAAUGAUUAAUAGGGAUAGUUGGGGGUAUUCAUAUUCAAUUGUCAGAGGUGAAAUUCUUGGAUUUAUGGAAGAUGAACAACUGCGAAAGCAUUUACCAAGGAUGUUUUCAUUAAUCAAGAACGAAAGUUAGGGGAUCGAAGAUGAUUAGAUACCAUCGUAGUCUUAACCAUAAACUAUGCCGACUAGGGAUUGGACCACGCUAUUUAAUGGCACGUUCAGCACCUUAUGAGAAAUCAAAGUCUUUGGGUU
rnacentral:rRNA from 1 species